rnacentral:snRNA from 1 species
AUCGCUUCUCGGCCUUUUGGCUAAGAUCAUGUGUAGUAUCUGUUCUUUUCAGCUUAAUAUCUGAAACGCGACUCACCGAGUCGCUUGUAUAUUAAACUGAUUUUUGAACCUAGGCCAUGGAAUAGGGGCUUGCUCCGUCUUGGCCACGGGUUGGCCCGGUAUUGCAGUACUUCCGGGAUCGGCCCACCCCUC